GCGCCAAUAGCUCAAGCGGCAGAGCAACUGACUCUUAAUCAGUGGGUUCGGGGUUCGAGUCCCUGUUGGCGCACCG
rnacentral:tRNA from 3 species